AACGAACGCUGGCGGCAGGCCUAACACAUGCAAGUCGAGCGAGGACUUCGGUCCUAGCGGCGGACGGGUGAGUAACGCGUGGGAACGUGCCCUUUGCUUCGGAAUAGCCCUGGGAAACUGGGAGUAAUACCGGAUGAGCCCUUUGGGGGAAAGAUUUAUCGGCGAAGGAUCGGCCCGCGUUGGAUUAGGUAGUUGGUGGGGUAAUGGCCUACCAAGCCGACGAUCCAUAGCUGGUUUGAGAGGAUGAUCAGCCACACUGGGACUGAGACACGGCCCAGACUCCUACGGGAAGCAGCAGUGGGGAAUCGUAGACCAUGGGGGAAACCCUGAUCUAGCCAUGCCGCGUGAGCGAUGAAGGCCUUAGGGUUGUAAAGCUCUUUCAGCUGGGAAGAUAAUGACGGUACCAGCAGAAGAAGCCCCGGCUAACUCCGUG
rnacentral:rRNA from 1 species